rnacentral:rRNA from 1 species
AACGAACGCUGGCGGCAUGCCUAACACAUGCAAGUCGAACGAGACCUUCGGGUCUAGUGGCGCACGGGUGCGUAACGCGUGGGAACCUUCCCUUAUGUUCGGAAUAACUCCCCGAAAGGGGUGCUAAUACCGGAUAAUGUCUUCGGACCAAAGAUUUAUCGCCUUUGGAUGUGCCCGCGUUGGAUUAGCUAGUUGGUAGGGUAAAAGCCUACCAAGGCGACGAUCCAUAGCUGGUCUGAGAGGAUGAUCAGCCACACUGGGACUGAGACACGGCCCAGACUCCUACGGGAGGCAGCAGUGGGGAAUAUUGGACAAUGGGCGAAAGGCUGAUCCAGCAAUGCCGCGUGAGUGAUGAAGGCCUUAGGGUUGUAAAGCUCUUUUACCCGGGAUGAUAAUGACAGUACCGGGAGAAUAAGCUCCGGCUAACUCCGUG